AACGCAUCAGACGUGGUUCCUUUCGGACAGAUGGGAGUGGUACGAUUUCAGGAACAACGUUGGAAGAGAGAAUGUUGGCUAAAAAAAAUUCAGGAUACCUAUGAUUGUCAAAACCCAACCAGCUGCGGGAAGAAACUAUACAUCGCGCUUUAGAAAUUUCCUUUGGCAGCCUUCGUUUCAUUGGCUUCAGAAAUUUAUUCUCCGCCGGAUU
rnacentral:lncRNA from 1 species